AACAGCAUUAAAAUAUUAGCUAGCUGCAUUAUGUGGAUCUGAGUUAACAUGUUGAUCCCUUUUUAAGGGAGAAAGUGAAAGAUCAUGUGACAAGAUGUAUCCAGAAAGACUACAGUCAUAGAGCUGUCGGGAGCAUUUGAAGCUGACCUAGGUUAACAGGCUGAUCUACGGAAAAGAUUCUGUGGCAAAGGUUACAGACUUGCGUCACAGACCAGUGAUGUUCUGAUGGGAUCAGUGAGUUCCAAAAACUUGGCAGAAAGGCUGCUCCCGGGACAAGUAAAUAUUGGCUCGCUGAGCAGGGUGGCCAGCAUCUGUUUGUGGUUUUGAGGAAAAUACAGAAGCGCCAUGAUGAAGGAUCCAGUAUCGGUAGCUAGCUUCAAAGCCAACAUCAUUGGGGUGAGAGGCCUAAACCAGGGCCAUCACAGGAAUCAGAGCAAUGUUAAUGAACCAAGUACCUGACCGCAAGGAGAAACCGACCCAAUUUGCUCAAUUUGUCCAAAGAACAAUACAGAUGGAAAAGCAGCAAAAUUCAGUGCGUGACCUGAAUACGAAUGUCUUUUGUUAUAAGACUGAAAUAAGUGGCCAGCUGUCUGACAAAAGUGGUACACAGCCCACGAAUGAUAAGUAAUUGAGAAGCUGACUCAUGCUUUUGCAAUGUAUUCUUUCUGGUGUUGCCGACAUGAUCUGGACAAACAAUAUGAACUAAUCCAAGAUUUCCGGGUUGCACAUGAAGUGAGUGAUGAUUUUCUACUGAGAUGGCCAGAACUAGACCGAACCACAAUCCAAGUUACGGGUAAAACCGAAUAUGUCAAGGGCCAAAUGGUGAGCCCUUUCUUUAACUGUGGAAAUUUGGCCACUGGGGAGUGAUGUGUCCUUAUCAUUACCUUGGAAUGAAUGCAGGGAUCGACAUGCUUGCAUCCUGACAAAAGGAAAAUCUGCAAAUAUAUACACUGACUCUCAUGCAUUUACAGAUUACAGAGCCUUGUGGGAACAUAGAGGAUUUAACCUUCAUGGUAAAACCUAUUCAUAAUGCUGUUUUGUCCAACCAGUCUGGCAAUUAUCAAAAUGUUCAACUCUCACUGAGGCAACUGAUACAGUCUCCAAAGAAAAUGAGCGAGUAGAUGCUGCUGCCAAGCUGACAGCCUUAGACCCCAAACUUCUGGUCCCAUUUGGUUCCCAGCAAAACCUGAUUAGAGACAGUAUAGAGACAGGUAUGCCAGACCUGGGUAAGGUAUAGAAAUCACAAGGGAAGCCCCUUGUGAAGGUUACAAACUAUGGACCCAAAUGGGGUGCUCCCUCAGUACUUAAACCAAAAUGUGGGUGACCCCUGCUGGACAAGUUUAUUAAAGUUCUUUGCUGCUGCCAAUUUUAGUUGAUUAUGUGCAUUAUUGUACACUCUUAGGCAAGGAGGGAACAGUUAAUACUCUAUCACAAAUUUGGUGCAAAGGCCCAUUUCUAUUCCUGCUUGUGACCUGCACAGCAUUCAAGGUCAAGGGGAGGCCCAAAUGGAUAGCCUGGUAACCUCUAGUAAAUUGGAAUUACACUUUAAAACUUUUCUUUUUGCACAGAAGGUCAAUCACUUCAGCUGCUGGGUAUGUACCCAUAUCCCCAUCCAUCCAGAACUUGCACCAAGUGAGCCCUUAUAGAAUUUGAGCAACUUGCAGCUUUCUUUUCCCCUGCCUUUGGAACUGCUAGACUGGAAAUUGAAGUAACCCUGCAGACAAUCCUGUGCUUGGUUCAGUUCUCUGCUGUGGCCUUCCUCUCCAGCGAUCUCACCAAUGCCUAGGUUUCCAAUUCCUGACAAAACCCCAAUGAUGAUUCCCAAUUCCUGGAGCCUUCUGCCCCUUUUCUAACUGAACCUGAGGACUAUCUGUCUGAUGUCCUAACCACCCCCCGCCCCUUGACAAUCCCCCGGCUCUGGAUGUAUUCCCCUUUUUUUGACACUCUAAUCUGUUCUUUUUUUUAAAAAAGAGGAAGAAUUGUGGAAGAAAUUUGACCAGAUUUGGCAGAAAUCUUUUUGGAAGCCAUCUUGUCACAAGUUUUGCAGUAAAAUGUAGACUGCUAACAAAGUUUUGUUAGAAACUUAGCUGAGGUAUUUGUUUUGAUAACAUGACCUUGCAGCUGCAGACUGUCUCAGUUCCUCUGGCCCUUUAGACACAGUUCUGCUUCAUCGAUGAUGUAUUUUCAAUAUGCUUCUUACCUGCCUGUAUAGUCAAACCUGCAGUAUAAGAUAACAUUCAGUUUUGUAGACAUUAAUAAAUGUAUGUUUGGACAAUGUAUGCAGACCUUAUGACUGCCCCUAAGUUGCAUAGUUAGUGGGCUUAUAAUAUACUGUUUAACUUGUAACACUCUAUACCUCAUUGGAAUUGUGUUGGACUUCUCCAAACGAAGAUGUAAUUCCCCAUGGCCAUGAUUAAAGCUAGUUAAUUGCUCAAGGUCUCCUCUCCUGGCUAUUUUGUUUUAAACGAUUCGGCACAAGAUUUACUUUUCCCCAACACAUAGUGAUAAGAUUCAUUCCACAGAGACCAAUAGAAAUGAUUGAUGGAUAUUAUUAAAAACAAUUCCAUUUUUUCCACUUCAAAGAAGCCGGUUUACUUUGACACUUGUUUCCAGUAAGAAUUAUCCCUGUUUGUGAUCGAUGAAAUAACUCUGCUAAACCAAUUAUAUUUUAUUAAUCUUUUUGAGAUUUAGUUGAAUAAAUGGAUACAAUUUCAUAAUUUUUCCUGUUAACCAAAAGGGUUUUUACAAGUCUGCAUUUUAGAUUGUCUUUUGAUGUUGAAAUAUCUUGUUUGAUUAUUCCUCUGUUUCCCAUUCCUCUUCCCUAAUAACGUAGGAUAAGCUGCUGCAAAGUUUGUUGCUGCUUGUUAUGUUGUGCACUUUGUUCAAAGUGGAAUUGUGUAUGUGUCAAUUAAAAGGGACAUUGGGAUUUAUCCUAACAUCUGGUUAUAAAA